rnacentral:lncRNA from 1 species
AUGCAAUGUAACCACCUGAAUGAGAUCGAGGCUGGAAAAUCCUAUAAGAGAAGGAGUUGUAGCCCAGCACUGCAUCGUUUCAGGCACUCGAUCUUUGUUGACAACCAUAACUUUUUUAUUUUACUUUCAUUCUGCUGCCUCUGUGUGUCACUUGCCAAUUUCUUCCAUAACAAUAGUAGGUUCCAAUCACUGUCAUAUUGCUACUCAAAGACCUCUGGGCAUCCUGUGAUACCCUCUCAGUUCCAGCCUCUACCAAGACCCCCUAUAGAUGUGCUCUGCAGAAGACACUGUCCUUACUUCCAGCAUGGCUUGAAUCUAGAUGUCCCUCCAAAGCUUCAUGUAGUCACAGGCUCUUCAACAGGCUGCAGUUAUUGGACAUCCCUGCUCUUCACAAAGUGACCUGAGGGGGACACAUGGCUCCUUGGGCUGAACGUGGGUCUACACCUGCUCCUGUUGCUGAUGGUAGUGUUCUUUUACCUUCCUCCGCCACUGCCCACCCACUGUCCAGCCCUUUCCCCAGCUCUGUCCACAGGCAAGGUUGAGUCUGCUCAGGUCAGAGUGGAUUGUGGGUCUAGCCUUGGCAGAUCUACAGCCUGGUACUAGAGGUUGGGCACCAGAGAGCCAGCAUCUGACCAGAGAGCAGCAUUUGGCUUUCUGUUUUGUACUGAAGAAGUUUGCCUAUGGAUUCUUCAACAAAGACAUCUGCUCUCCUGGGAACAUAGAGGUCACCAUUCAAACCAAGAUACUUAUGGGAGCAAAAAGACAGAAUGAACAGUUAUGUCUGGCAACAGACAUACAGCAGCACUCUCCCAGGCAUAUAUGGAUAUAUAACCCUAACUAUAUGCAGACUUUUGCAUCUUACGCUCAGCCUGCCCUAGUUAAGUAAAAAGUACUUUUGUCCAUGAUAUUAUUGAAAGUGAAAGUGACAUGUGAUGGAGAAAAUGAGUUUUUCUGUUUAUAGACUUUGAGAAGAUUGCGGGAAUCUAGACAUAAGGCUCCAGGCCCAGUCGAACUUCUGUGUGGACACGGAGGAGGGAGCCACGAGCUGAUCCUCCUUUUGCAAUGUUCUGGCAUGCUGGCAUGUGGCAAUUUCCUGAGACAAAGAGAACAACAGCUGAGAUCCAGUUUAGAGAAAUACUUACCUGGGUAUGAUGUGCAAAUAAUGGGAAGCAGAUGGAUUGUCCAUUAACCUAACUGCUUGCUCCCUAGCCUGAGUUCAAUAAAAGUGAGGUGAGCUCAGGGCUCUGUCCACCUGAGGCAAGAGCUUCCUGUGCCCUCUUUCAAAGCUGUCUCUGUGCCUUGUCUUUAAUGUCUGUUCAUCCUCUCUGGUCAGGCAUUCCUGGCAAGCUGGUUUCCUGCUGAAGAUCAUUUAUAAGUUUAUGCAGUUUACGAUAACAAAUCCUGAAUUUAUUCAUUAGUAAAUUAUUAUCACAGCUUUGUAUUGCCCUAGCCAAUGAAUCCUUUGUAUUAUCCUGUCUCUGCGUCUUAUUGGAAAGCAAAGAACAUGUCCAUUAAAG